rnacentral:lncRNA from 10 species
UAACUCUCUAAAGGUCCCUACAAGUGGCUUUCGUGGAGCGAUCACGUGGCCCCUGCCCCCUCGCGUUCUGGGUCCAUUUAUAUUUAUUAUGCUAAUAUUUAGAAAGAGAAGGCCAAGUGGCGCGCCGAAGGAAACGCCUCAGGCAGUUACAACCCGCAUAAGUUGAGCGUUUACCACACGCCAGGCGCUGCUCCACGAUCCGUACAAUCUCAUUUAACCCCUGCAACAAUUCCCCACUACGAUCCUCUUUCUAUAGGUAGGGAAACUGAGGCUCACAGCAGCUGCGUAGUUUACCUUAAGGUGGAACCAAAAUUCAAUUGCAGUGGUGUAUUCUGGGGUCCGAGGUCUUAAACCCUACUCUGCUCCCUUAUCAGGAUUCAGGCUCAGGGAAUGAAUAAACCCGGGACAGCUAGGAGAAGGGAGGAGGUGCGCUCCUGUCGCCGGCUAGUAGGCCUGAAGAUAAAUCACUCUAUUCAGCAAGAUUUGGGUGGCAGAUGCUAUUUACCUUUGUUCUGUCUCUUUGAAGCAGCGCAGGGAUUUUCCAGAGAAAUCUUGACAGAUGAAUGUUUAUCCUCCAGGUUUUUUGGUGAUCAGAGGUCAAACUAUUCUCAGCCUGUUUUUAAUAUAAACAAUUCUCUGGGAUAAUUUUGACUGUGAAACGGCCACCUCUAACAGAAAGUCCAUUUUAAACAUUGUUUUGUUGUUUUUGUUUUGUUUUGACUGUGCUGAAUAAAAUGUUUCUUUUAUUCUAAAAUGUUUUCUCAGCUGAAAUUUUCAAGUCUGUUUCUGUCCGUAAGUGAUUUGACUUUCUAUGUAUUAGAUGGUAAUGAGGAAAUUGCAGGUUUUCCAGUCUACAUCUAUUUUUAAAAUUCUGAGCAUAAAGAAUAUUUUAUUAUAAAUUGUUUUGCUUACUUGUAUAAUAGUUUCCUUCAUAAUUAAAUAAGCUCCUUUAACUUUUCACAUAUAGGGCCUAUUACGGCAUACAUAAUGGAUGGAACUACUCUUAAAUUUUUACUAAUUCCAGCCUCUCUCGGCUACUGUUUCUUCCUCACAUUUGAUCUACUACAGUGAGAUCCAGGCCAGAAUAAGUGAAAUUGGCACACAUAGACUUUCUUUAUAGUUAUUUAUGGCAGCACAUGACCAAAUGAUUUUUGUGUCUAACACUGAUACAUGGAAUCUCAGUAAAAUAAAACAAUAUUGUCACCAGUAAAGGAUCGUGACUGCAGGUUGUCCAGGUUCUUGGCGUUUUGAACAAAGAAUUGGACAAAACACCCAGAGAAGCGACAAAAGAACGAAAGCAGGGAUUUAUUGAAAACGAAAGUACACUCUACAUUGUGGGAGCGGGCGGAGCAGCGGCUCAAAGGCCGAAUACAGAAUCUUCUUGGGUCCAAAUACCCCCAAGAAGUUUCCCUUUGGCAACUCAUGCUCAUCUCACGUAAAUGAAGUGGUAGCCCGCAAUCAGUCUGACUGGUUGCAGAAAGCAGCCAACCAGAGGCUGAAAUGAAGAUACAAAGGUAACACUCCUGUGCAAACAUCUGAUUGGUUGCAAAAAACAACCAAUCAGAGGCUGGGAUGUACUUAAUGAAGUUAUGCUUCUAUGCAAACGAAGACUCGCCCACAGUCUGAUUAGUUGUGGACAACAACCAUUCAGAGGCUGGAGUGAAGUUACAAAGUUGCAAAUGAAGAUUGGACCCGCAGUCAGUCUGAUUGGUUACAGACAGCCAAUUUCCCAUCUACUAGGCAGAAAAGGUCAAAGGUAGCCUCUGGUCCUUUUGUUACUUAGGCGUGGAAAGUUAGGGUUUUCCUUUCAAUGUAGUUCAAGGAAGUCCUUAGUUUCCCUGCCUCCAGAACCUAGUCUCCUGCCUCAACAUGAGUACAUGAACCACCUAUUUUAUGUGAUGAUUAAAUAACCCACCAGAUUCUCUGCGAGUCACUGAAUUAGGAUAUUGACUACUUAAUUUAAAUGAACAUCCGGAGGCCUGGCUUUUUGCUGUCAAUGAACUUCAAUGAAUGGACAUGAAUAUGACUCCGCUAAGUCACAAUCUUCUAAUUUUCUACUAGGCGCUCCUGGGAAGUCAGCCCUAUAUCAUUGCCUCUCCUGGUGUGCAUCCUGGCAUGUGGUGGGGACUGUACACAUGCCUUUGUGCUUCAAAACACUUCAAAACAGAAAUCCCCUCCUGGGCCUAGCACAGGUACUGUGUGCUGGGCUAAACUGAAAUGAAUAUGAAGUCUAUGGCCAUACCACCCUGAACACACCCGACCUUAUCUGAUCUUGGAAGCUCGACAGGGUCAGGCCUGAUUAAUACUUGGAUGGGAAAUGAAUGUACUUGAGUUGGAGGGAAGAAGGGGUAUGGUUGUUGUUUGAUUUUUUUUUUUUUUGGACCUCUCAGCAAGUUGAUUUUCUAGACUUACCAAAUAAAAGUCCUAUGUGAUUUUCAUUAAAAAAAGGACCAAUGCGUAAAUGAGAGGGGAAAAUAGUUCAUUCUGAGGCAGAAGCAUCCAGUAGAACCACUAUCUAGUUUCCCAUCACUGAGAAUAUUCUAACAGAGGUUUGGCUGACCACCCAACCUCAUCUGUAAAUUGGGAACAAUAAUAGCAUAUGUGAUCAUGUCAAAAGGUAUUCUUGCGGAAGGUAGGAGGCAUGACCAACUCAUCCUGGUUUGCUGGGACUUUCCCAGUUUUAAUACUGUAAGUCCCAUGUUUUCAGAAUCCCUUCAGUCACAGUGGGGCUAGAUGACUUCUGAGUUUUCUUCCAACUCUUAAGACUCUCAGUUGCAGGGUCUGCCUCCAGCAAAACUGGGAGGUAGGAGGAAGUUUAUUUUCUGUACCUUUUACUGGACUUUCUCACUUCUUUAGCUGCCGCAGGCCUUUACUUCCUUCCCUUAUCUACUCUCAAAAUCUGCUUUUACAACUAUCAGUUUGUUUGUGCAUAAAUAAUUUGUUAUUCUUCCAAGUGCUAUUAACAGAUACCAGAUAACAAAGCCAUAAAAUAAAAUAAUCUUCA